UUCCAGUCCCUCUUCGCGCCCAGCUGGCCACGCCCCUUCCCAACUCGCUCCUCCCCCAUUAGGCCGGCGGCGCGCGAAAAGCGCGUCACGUGACGGCUGGCCCCGCCUCUUCCUCUCGGUCCCAUAUUGAACUCGAGUUGGAAGAGGCGAGUCCGGUCUCAAAAUGGAGAAGACACAGGAAGAUCUUAGAAUGUAAAUGGCCAUGAUCCAAAGGAACCAGAACAGUUGAGAAAACUGUUUAUCGGUGGUCUGAGCUU
rnacentral:lncRNA from 1 species